UACGUAGGCAGCAAGCGUUGUUCGGAAUUACUGGGCGUAAAGGGCCAGUAGGCGGCCAACUAAGUCACACGUGAAAUCCCCAGGCUUAACCUGGGAACUCGCGUGUGAUACGUGGAUGGCUUGAAUUCGGGAGAGGAUGCAGAAUUCCAGGUGUAGCGGUGAAAUGCGUAGAUAUCUGGAGGAAUACCGGUGGCGAAGGCGGCAGUCCUGGACCGGCAUUGACGCUGAUGAGCGAAAGCUAGGGGAGCAAACGGG
rnacentral:rRNA from 1 species